GAUGAACGCUGGCGGCGUGCCUAAUACGUGCAAGUCGAGCGAACGGACGAGAAGCUUGCUUCUCUGAUGUUAGCGGCGGACGGGUGAGUAACACGUGGAUAACCUACCUAUAAGACUGGGAUAACUUCGGGAAACCGGAUCUAAUACCGGAUGAUAUUUGAACCGCAUGGUUCAAAAGUGAAAGACGGUCUUGCUGUCACUUAUAGAUGGAUCCGCGCUGCAUUAGCUAGUUGGUAAGGUAACGGCUUACCAAGGCAACGAUGCAUAGCCGACCUGAGAGGGUGAUCGGCCACACUGGAACUGAGACACGGUCCAGACUCCUACGGGAGGCAGCAGUAGGGAAUCUUCCGCAAUGGGCGAAAGCCUGACGGAGCAACGCCGCGUGAGUGAUGAAGGUCUUCGGAUCGUAAAACUCUGUUAUUAGGGAAGAACAUAUGUGUAAGUAACUGUGCACAUCUUGACGGUACCUAAUCAGAAAGCCACGGCUAACUACGUG
rnacentral:rRNA from 1 species